GCCAUGCAUGUCUAAGUGCAAGCCGUCCCGCACGGUGAAACUGCGAAAGGCUCAUAAAUCAGUUAUGGUUCCUUAGAUCGUACCCACGUUACUUGGAUAACUGUGGUAAUUCUAGAGCUAAUACAUGCCAACAGAGCUCCGACCAGCGGGUCGACGCACGGCGGUUCGCCCGUCGUCGCCGGACGUUCGGAAGGAGCGCUUUUAUUAGAUCAAAACCGGCCAAGCGCGUCGGUCGCGCUUCGCGCCCGCGCGUAAGUGGCCCGCGCAAAGACUUGACGACUCUUAAUAACUUCGAGCAGAUCGCACGGUCCUCGUACCGGCGACGAAUCUUUCAAAUGUCUGCCUUAUCAACUGUCGACGGUAGGUUCUACGCCUACCGUGGUGGUAACGGGUAACGGGGAAUCAGGGUUCGAUUCCGGAGAGGGAGCCUGAGAAACGGCUACCACAUCCAAGGAAGGCAGCAGGCGCGUAAAUUAUCCAUUCUCAACGCGAGGAGAUAGUGACGAAAAAUAACGAUACGGGACUCAUCCUAGGCCCCGUAAUCGGAAUGAGUACACUUUAAAACCUUGGUCACACGAGGAUCAAUUGGAGGGCAAGUCUGG
rnacentral:rRNA from 1 species